rnacentral:rRNA from 1 species
GGUUAAGCGACUAAGCGUACACGGUGGAUGCCCUGGCAGUCAGAGGCGAUGAAGGACGUGCUAAUCUGCGAAAAGCGUCGGUAAGGUGAUAUGAACCGUUACAGCCGGCGAUGUCCGAAUGGGGAAACCCAGUGCAAUUCGUUGCACUAUCGUUAACUGAAUACAUAGGUUAACGAGGCGAACCGGGGGAACUGAAACAUCUAAGUACCCCGAGGAAAAGAAAUCAACCGAGAUUCCCCCAGUAGCGGCGAGCGAACGGGGAGCAGCCCAGAGUCUGAAUCAGCUUGUGUGUUAGUGGAACGGUCUGGAAAGUCCGACGGUACAGGGUGAUAGUCCCGUACACCAAAAUGCACAGGCUGUGAACUCGAAGAGUAGGGCGGGACACGUGGUAUCCUGUCUGAAUAUGGGGGGACCAUCCUCCAAGGCUAAAUACUCCUGACUGACCGAUAGUGAACCAGUACCGUGAGGGAAAGGCGAAAAGAACCCCGGCGAGGGGAGUGAAAAAGAACCUGAAACCGUGUACGUACAAGCAGUGGGAGCACCUUCGGGUGUGACUGCGUACCUUUUGUAUAAUGGGUCAGCGACUUAUAUUCUGUAGCAAGGUUAACCGUAUAGGGGAGCCGCAGGGAAACCGAGUCUUAACUGGGCGUUAAGUUGCAGGGUAUAGACCCGAAACCCGGUGAUCUAGCCAUGGGCAGGUUGAAGGUUGGGUAACACUAACUGGAGGACCGAACCGACUAAUGUUGAAAAAUUAGCGGAUGACUUGUGGCUGGGGGUGAAAGGCCAAUCAAACCGGGAGAUAGCUGGUUCUCCCCGAAAGCUAUUUAGGUAGCGCCUCGUGAAUUCAUCUUCGGGGGUAGAGCACUGUUUCGGCUAGGGGGUCAUCCCGACUUACCAACCCGAUGCAAACUGCGAAUACCGAAGAAUGUUAUCACGGGAGACACACGGCGGGUGCUAACGUCCGUCGUGAAGAGGGAAACAACCCAGACCGCCAGCUAAGGUCCCAAAGUCAUGGUUAAGUGGGAAACGAUGUGGGAAGGCACAGACAGCCAGGAUGUUGGCUUAGAAGCAGCCAUCAUUUAAAGAAAGCGUAAUAGCUCACUGGUCGAGUCGGCCUGCGCGGAAGAUGUAACGGGGCUAAACCAUGCACCGAAGCUGCGGCAGCGACACUAUGUGUUGUUGGGUAGGGGAGCGUUCUGUAAGCCUGCGAAGGUGUGCUGUGAGGCAUGCUGGAGGUAUCAGAAGUGCGAAUGCUGACAUAAGUAACGAUAAAGCGGGUGAAAAGCCCGCUCGCCGGAAGACCAAGGGUUCCUGUCCAACGUUAAUCGGGGCAGGGUGAGUCGACCCCUAAGGCGAGGCCGAAAGGCGUAGUCGAUGGGAAACAGGUUAAUAUUCCUGUACUUGGUGUUACUGCGAAGGGGGGACGGAGAAGGCUAUGUUAGCCGGGCGACGGUUGUCCCGGUUUAAGCAUGUAGGCUGGUUGUCCAGGCAAAUCCGGAUAAUCAAGGCUGAGGUGUGAUGACGAGGCACUACGGUGCUGAAGUAACAAAUGCCCUGCUUCCAGGAAAAGCCUCUAAGCAUCAGGUAACAUUAAAUCGUACCCCAAACCGACACAGGUGGUCAGGUAGAGAAUACCAAGGCGCUUGAGAGAACUCGGGUGAAGGAACUAGGCAAAAUGGUGCCGUAACUUCGGGAGAAGGCACGCUGGUGUGUAGGUGAAGUCCCUGCGGAUGGAGCUGAGACCAGUCGAAGAUACCAGCUGGCUGCAACUGUUUAUUAAAAACACAGCACUGUGCAAACACGAAAGUGGACGUAUACGGUGUGACGCCUGCCCGGUGCCGGAAGGUUAAUUGAUGGGGUUAUCCGUAAGGAGAAGCUCUUGAUCGAAGCCCCGGUAAACGGCGGCCGUAACUAUAACGGUCCUAAGGUAGCGAAAUUCCUUGUCGGGUAAGUUCCGACCUGCACGAAUGGCGUAAUGAUGGCCAGGCUGUCUCCACCCGAGACUCAGUGAAAUUGAACUCGCUGUGAAGAUGCAGUGUACCCGCGGCAAGACGGAAAGACCCCGUGAACCUUUACUAUAGCUUGACACUGAACAUUGAGCCUUGAUGUGUAGGAUAGGUGGGAGGCUUUGAAGCGUGGACGCCAGUCUGCGUGGAGCCAACCUUGAAAUACCACCCUUUAAUGUUUGAUGUUCUAACGUUGGCCCCUUACCGGGGUUGCGGACAGUGUCUGGUGGGUAGUUUGACUGGGGCGGUCUCCUCCCAAAGCGUAACGGAGGAGCACGAAGGUUAGCUAAUCCUGGUCGGACAUCAGGAGGUUAGUGCAAUGGCAUAAGCUAGCUUGACUGCGAGCGUGACGGCGCGAGCAGGUGCGAAAGCAGGUCAUAGUGAUCCGGUGGUUCUGAAUGGAAGGGCCAUCGCUCAACGGAUAAAAGGUACUCCGGGGAUAACAGGCUGAUACCGCCCAAGAGUUCAUAUCGACGGCGGUGUUUGGCACCUCGAUGUCGGCUCAUCACAUCCUGGGGCUGAAGUAGGUCCCAAGGGUAUGGCUGUUCGCCAUUUAAAGUGGUACGCGAGCUGGGUUUAGAACGUCGUGAGACAGUUCGGUCCCUAUCUGCCGUGGGCGCUGGAGAAUUGAGGGGGGCUGCUCCUAGUACGAGAGGACCGGAGUGGACGCAUCACUGGUGUUCGGGUUGUCAUGCCAAUGGCACUGCCCGGUAGCUAAAUGCGGAAGAGAUAAGUGCUGAAAGCAUCUAAGCACGAAACUUGCCCCGAGAUGAGUUCUCCCUGAGACUUUAAGUCUCCUGAAGGAACGUUAAAGACGAUGACGUUGAUAGGCCGGGUGUGUAAGCGCAGCGAUGCGUUGAGCUAACCGGUACUAAUGAACCGUGAGGCUUAACCUUACAACGCCGAAGAUGUUUUG